rnacentral:rRNA from 1 species
UACGGAGGGUGCAAGCGUUAUCCGGAUUUAUUGGGUUUAAAGGGUGCGUAGGCGGACUAAUAAGUCAGUGGUGAAAUCCUCGAGCUUAACUUGAGAACUGCCAUUGAUACUGUUAGACUAGAGUACAUUUGAGGUAGGCGGAAUGUGUUGUGUAGCGGUGAAAUGCAUAGAUAUAACACAGAACACCGAUCGCGAAGGCAGCUUACCAAGUUGUAACUGACGCUGAGGAACGAAAGCGUGGGGAUCAAACAGG